rnacentral:lncRNA from 1 species
AGGGGAAAAAAAAAAUCAAUUUUAUUUGAUUUUUUUUCUUAAAGAAAAAUAUAGCAUGUUGUCUGCUUCAUUCAUUCGAAAUAUAACUAGACUACAUGAGCGAGGUACUAGACGUCAGUCGAGAUGAAGAAAGAAGAAAAAAAAAAGAAAUGGUUAACUGAAUACGAAAUAGCUACUUUGCUGAGAUAAAUUCCCCACAAGUUUUUGAAGUACCUGAUUUUAUUGACUGCUACAAAUGGGUCCGCACUAACUUUUCUAAAAAUCACAUCAUUUUUAACAUUCCAAAUAACUCAUCACCAGGCUAUCAGUUCGAUCAGCCUAGAACGAAUAGACUGAGUUCUAUAUCUUGACGUCUAAUUAUUCCAAAUGACAGUCACAUCAUCACCCAAAUUUAUAAACUGGAUCCUCUGUAAGGCUGUCACCACUAGAAAUUUACUAAAUAUGCAUUGCUCCCUACUGGUUUAGUCCAAUUUCAGUUUACUACCCCCUGUGGUUCAAAAAAUAUCACUCCGCCCCUCUAUGAUAUAGUUCAUUUUUAUUGCGCUACCCUGUAGUUUAAAAAAUUACACUUUGCUUUUAUGUGGCUUAGCUCGUUUUCUACUUUACCAUUUUGUGGCUUUUUAAAAGUUUUUUACUUUGCUAUCUUACUUCAUAUAGAAUUUUUGGGUACAGUAGAAAUUAAACCACAAGGGGUUAAAGAGAAAGUUUUUGUUACGACAAACGCACAAACGGAAACGAAAUGACGAACACAAAAACAAUCAAACCACAAGCAGAAAAAUAAAGAGACACAGAUUUACGUGGAAAACCCUUUUGCAGAGAAAAACCACGGGCGAGGGAGGAGAGAACUUCACUAUGGAAUGAAAAGAGAAUACAAUGUUCUUCAGGUUACAACCAACCACGAUCACACGCCUCUAGGGCAUAAACGAUAAACGAAAAAGAAAAACUCAUAACAGGUUUCGGAUCCGAUCCGUACCGCGGGGGGCUCCGCUACCCACCAUAGACAUUCAUUUUUCCUCCAUAAUUUUCUUUUCCAAAUUGGUCGCACCGCGAAGCUGUCGGCGAGUCGUAAACCCGAACCUGAAUCGAUAGUAGAUUUCGAGUCGCAUCUAACAGUUUUCAAACCAUAGGAUGAUAGAGAAAAAAUAAGGUACAUCGUAUAGAAAAAACUUUGGAGUUUACCCUAUUUUUAAUGCAUGCAUCACUAUUCUGGCUUAAUUUAUUUUCGGGUCUAAAAUAAACUAACUAAAUACCUUUAGCUAGUAUAUUAUAUGUAUGUAUCUUUGCUUUUCGAGGGCUAGCUAAAGGUCAGAGAAUUGAAUCCCUGCUUAUGUAUUUUUAUAAAAUGGAUUUCGAACCAGCGGCUUUUUGCGUAAAAAAUUCUUGUGACAU